GGAAAAGGGGUGGGGCGGUGCGUGGGACUCAGCCACCCUCUGCGACUGAGGCCUGCCACCAGCCCAGGGCCAGCCCUCGGGGAAGAGGCCACACCAGGGCCUGCGGAGUGGUGGUGGAGCUCUCUGGUGGUGGAGGGUUGCCCACAUCCUUCUCCUCUUCCUUUCCCUGGUCUACACCUGCCCAAGGUGUGAAAAAGCCCAGGCCCUCUCUACAGCCUGCAGACAGCGCCAGGCCGGGCGAGGGUGCAGUUUGAGGACGGGAGGGGCAGCCAUUUGGAACUGGGACCUGUGGGCCACCAGAGAACCUAAAAGCAAACAUGUCUGGCCAGCGACGGGAUUAACUCUGAGUGCGGGAUCAAAACACUUCCCGUCAGUGUGAGCUCACUCAGUGAUUUAGCGAAUGAGCACGGUCUUCCUCAGCCCCUUCCUGAGAGUUUGGCCCUCCCCGCCCUGGGGUCCCUCCUGGAGCUUCCGGCCUUGAUAGCUCUGCAGAAAAUGCUAAGAGCCCAAGAAGGUUGUGAAGGGUGUGUGUGUGUGUGUGUNNNNNNNNNNUGUGUCUGUGUGUUUGUGUGUCUGUGUGUUUUUGUGUGUGUCUGUGUGUUUAUGUGUCUGUGUUUGUGUGUCUGUGUGUUUGUUUGUGUGUCUGUGUGUUUGCAUCUGUGUGUGUGUCCGUGUGUUUGUGUGUGUCUAUGUGUGUCUGUAUGUGUUUGUGUGUCUGUGUGUNNNNNNNNNNUGUGUGUUUGUGUGUCUGUGUGUGUGUGUCUGUGUGUUUGUGUGUGUGUGUACAUCUGUGUAUAUUUGUGUCAGCGUCUGUGUGUGUGUGUACUGGGAGGGCAGUGGUCCCAGCUCCUCGAGGGCAUCAGGCUCUGUAGCAGGGCCCAUCUCAGCAGGAGGGUGCAACGGCCUCACCCACACCGUCCAGGCAGGUCUCCUGGGACCCCUUUUAGCCAGCACAGGUGGCUUCUCCCUAGGCUAAGACAUACGACACUAUCCGUCGUGGUGGUGCUUCAGACGGCAGCACGGGGAGUGGAGAUUUUGGGGCCGCAGUCUUUCCCAGCCCAAGGUGCCCCAGGGCCUGCCCUGGGAUGCGGGUUCCUGCCAGAAGUGCCUUUUGCUGCCUGGAAUCAUGCGGAAUGUGGGCUCUUCCCAGGUCAACCUGGGGAGCCCCAGUCAGGAGAAAAUGGUGAAGAUGUAAUCACCACACUCAGGUGUAACCUCUGCAGCUGGAUUUCUAAACUAGAACCACUGGUCACGGGAUUCAGAUGUCCCUGA
rnacentral:lncRNA from 1 species